rnacentral:rRNA from 1 species
GCAGCCGCCGCGGUAAUACGGAGGGGGCUAGCGUUGUUCGGAAUUACUGGGCGUAAAGCGCGCGUAGGCGGUUAUUCAAGUCAGAGGUGAAAGCCCGGGGCUCAACCCCGGAACUGCCUUUGAAACUAGAUGACUAGAAUCUUGGAGAGGCGAGUGGAAUUCCGAGUGUAGAGGUGAAAUUCGUAGAUAUUCGGAAGAACACCAGUGGCGAAGGCGACUCGCUGGACAAGUAUUGACGCUGAGGUGCGAAAGCGUGGGGAGCAAACAGGAUUAGAUACCCGCGUAGUCCCUGUCUCUUAUAC